rnacentral:rRNA from 1 species
GAUGAACGCUGGCGGCGUGCCUAAUACAUGCAAGUCGAGCGAACAGACGAGGAGCUUGCUCCUUUGACGUUAGCGGCGGACGGGUGAGUAACACGUGGGUAACCUACCUAUAAGACUGGGAUAACUUCGGGAAACCGGAGCUAAUACCGGAUAAUAUUUCGAACCGCAUGGUUCGAUAGUGAAAGAUGGCUUUGCUAUCACUUAUAGAUGGACCUGCGCCGUAUUAGCUAGUUGGUAAGGUAACGGCUUACCAAGGCAACGAUACGUAGCCGACCUGAGAGGGUGAUCGGCCACACUGGAACUGAGACACGGUCCAGACUCCUACGGGAGGCAGCAGUAGGGAAUCUUCCGCAAUGGGCGAAAGCCUGACGGAGCAACGCCGCGUGAGUGAUGAAGGUCUUCGGAUCGUAAAACUCUGUUAUUAGGGAAGAACAAACGUGUAAGUAACUGUGCACGUCUUGACGGUACCUAAUCAGAAAGCCACGGCUAACUACGUGCCAGCAGCCGCGGUAAUACGUAGGUGGCAAGCGUUAUCCGGAAUUAUUGGGCGUAAAGCGCGCGUAGGCGGUUUUUUAAGUCUGAUGUGAAAGCCCACGGCUCAACCGUGGAGGGUCAUUGGAAACUGGAAAACUUGAGUGCAGAAGAGGAAAGUGGAAUUCCAUGUGUAGCGGUGAAAUGCGCAGAGAUGUGGAGGAACACCAGUGGCGAAGGCGACUUUCUGGUCUGUAACUGACGCUGAUGUGCGAAAGCGUGGGGAUCAAACAGGAUUAGAUACCCUGGUAGUCCACGCCGUAAACGAUGAGUGCUAAGUGUUAGGGGGUUUCCGCCCCUUAGUGCUGCAGCUAACGCAUUAAGCACUCCGCCUGGGGAGUACGACCGCAAGGUUGAAACUCAAAGGAAUUGACGGGGACCCGCACAAGCGGUGGAGCAUGUGGUUUAAUUCGAAGCAACGCGAAGAACCUUACCAAAUCUUGACAUCCUUUGACCCUUCUAGAGAUAGAAGUUUCCCCUUCGGGGGACAAAGUGACAGGUGGUGCAUGGUUGUCGUCAGCUCGUGUCGUGAGAUGUUGGGUUAAGUCCCACAACGAGCGCAACCCUUAAGCUUAGUUGCCAUCAUUAAGUUGGGCACUCUAAGUUGACUGCCGGUGACAAACCGGAGGAAGGUGGGGAUGACGUCAAAUCAUCAUGCCCCUUAUGAUUUGGGCUACACACGUGCUACAAUGGACAAUACAAAGGGCAGCGAAACCGCGAGGUCAAGCAAAUCCCAUAAAGUUGUUCUCAGUUCGGAUUGUAGUCUGCAACUCGACUACAUGAAGCUGGAAUCGCUAGUAAUCGUAGAUCAGCAUGCUACGGUGAAUACGUUCCCGGGUCU